rnacentral:rRNA from 1 species
ACUCCUACGGGAGGCAGCAGUAAGGAAUAUUGGGCAAUGGACGCAAGUCUGACCCAGCCAUGCCGCGUGCAGGAUGACGGCCCUAUGGGUUGUAAACUGCUUUUAUACGGGAAAAAAAUAUCCGACGCGAUCGGAAGCUGAUGGUACCGUAUGAAUAAGCAUCGGCUAACUCCGUGCCAGCAGCCGCGGUAAUACGGAGGAUGCAAGCGUUAUCCGGAUUUAUUGGGUUUAAAGGGUGCGCAGGCGGAAUGAUAAGUCAGCGGUGAAAGCUUCCGGCUUAGCCGGAAAAUUGCCAUUGAUACUAUCGUUCUUGAGUUCAGUUGAGGUAGGCGGAAUGUGUCAUGUAGCGGUGAAAUGCUUAGAUAUGACACAGAACACCGAUAGCGAAGGCAGCUUACCAAAUUGACACUGACGCUCAUGCACGAAAGCGUGGGGAUCAAACAGGAUUAGAUACCCUGGUAGUC